rnacentral:lncRNA from 1 species
CUCUUCAUCAGACACGCCUGUCUGAUGAUCGUCAGGAGGAUUUUCCUUACCCCUUUACCCUUUGUCGUACUCUCCAUGCUUCACCGCCAUUGCAAAAAUCAGCAUAUGAGGAUACCACGGGCGCAACAAGAUCGCAGCCAAGUGAGCUAUUAAUUUACAGGUGCAGGAGCCGCGUACUAGCAACCGGCACCGCGCAACGCAGUCACAUUUAGGCGGCACGGGUAUCAGUUCAUUAGUUUUCGAGACUCUUUUCUUGUCUCGAAACGUUUCGUUACACAUUUGGCGGCUCUGACUAAUUGGCUUGGAGAGGGGUAACCAACUAAAACAGAGUACCUUAAACAGCCGGCCAACUGAGUUGCAAAUCCACAAUUCCAACGACCAAGCCAGUCUCACCUCCACUGAGCUCCAACUGGACUCUUUAAGAUCAUGACGCCAACGCCCUCUGCACGACACAAAUCAUGGCUCGGUUUUUGGUGACUCAGUUACUCGGAGUACUCGAGAACUGGAUGAUUCGGGCUAUACUCCGACAGCCCAGCUUCCAUCGAGCCGUUGGCCGUAUUCAUCGAUGUGUACAUCAGUGGCAGCAUGGACGCAACCCUCACGAGCCGCUCGCGCCCGGCGAGGCAACAGCAAAUCCCACAACACGCGGACGUGACAGAACAUUUUUCAAAUACUUUCUCCACGAGCUCAAGGCUCAAAUAAAGGGAAGGCCAACGGAACUUCUAUAGUGAGCGCAUCUCCAAUGCCUCCUCUGACGCGGCUUCACGCGCGAUCCUUUGUAUUCGACUAGCAGCCAACGAACGCGACGGCCAUCUCCCCUACAAUGUCGAUUAUCUUGUCGAUGCUGUCAUUUUUGCUUACCCUGCACAUUUUGACUUUGCCCUUGGCUGCGUGAAAGGGCGGGCAAUGCGACACAAGAAUUUUGCAAGCCCAAGCGAGAUAAGACGUGCGGCAUCUUCACAAGCAGCAGGCAAUCGAAAGAUACGCGAUAAGCGAUGCCAUUUUAUUUGUGUCCGAUGAAGCACGGCAGCGUGCUACGUCGGAGGUGACGGUGCAGUUUUCAAGACACGGCUGAUGGAGUCGUCGGCCAGGCAGGCGAGCAUAGUCUUUGAUGGAGCACCAAUCCGUUCGUCAUCAUGUCGGGCGAACGCCGAUCCUGAAGCUGGGCCGGCUAAGCCUUCCGGCGCUGCCUGCUUUGGACCCAACUAAUGCAGCUGAUGAAUUUGGUGGGAGCGCGCAUGGGCGAUGAGGCGUGAAGGCCGAGGGCAAGCUAUGGGAAAAAAAAAGGCAAUUUUCGACGUCAAGCCGCCGAGCCAUGAGUUGGAGCUCGUCAGCUUCGCCUAGGCUCGCCCGGCCGACUGCAGGGUGUCGUGAAUAAACCGACCAGUACGGCGGCCAGCACAGCACGCACCCUGCCAAGCAUCUCCUCCAGCAUCAUGGACCAGGCGGCGGAUGUGGGCUAUUAAUAUCCUUCCCCUCUCUGCCUCCUCAACCAAGCUGGAUGGUGGUGCUUGUUGUCCAGGGCCGCCGAUGCAUGUCUAUAUGUCACGACCACGUGCUGCACGCUUUAUUGCUUGACGCCAAGAAGCUCAGCGGAGCGAAAAAAAGGGACGAGACGGAGGCACGUUUCAGAACGUGCCUGUCGAGCAUUGCGACACGCUUGGUUUCAAGGGGAGCGACUCUAGCCGCCUCGCGCGCUGGCUUCGGCAGCUUCGACUAUAUAGACUCAGAGACACCUAUAGGAGUUCGAAAAAUUGCUUUGACUGCGGGAUAUCGUUGAUAAUGGGGGGAGGGGUGAGGAGGGCACGCGCUCUGCCGGCUUCGGUUAGUGGCUUGCCUAUGCGAGAUGACGACGACGACACCAGUCGGCCCGUUGACCUCGGAUACCGCAUACGUGAUGUUCGCUGUUGCCAUGACUGCGGGGGAAGCCAUGAAGCCCAUUUGGCGCCGGCAUCGCGACGGACGCGACCAGACCGAAUUCUUCCGUCUUGGUCGUUGGGAGAAGACCGGGGGAUAGAGACAGCGCAAAGCCGUGACCGAUAGAGAGAGCGUCUGUCGACGACCCAGCAGCCUCGGGCUCAUAUGCGGCGUCUCAGGUACGAAUAGGGCCGCAAAGGGCGCGGUUUCUUAUUCCCUCGCCAGGCGUGAUAUAUCCCCCACGGUCGCGCGCCGCCCCUUCCCCCCCCUGUCCCGGGUCGCGUAGUACGCUUCAGACUGCGUCUCCGCCCGCGCGACAGACUGGUGAUGAUACGCCGCCAAGGAGCCAUGGCCGGCAGCGGGCCUUGAGGAUGCGACUUUCAAGGGGAGGUGUUGCGAGAUGGCUUCGUCGAUA